AUGUAUAAGUAUAAACGAAUUAGAUCGUGAAACCGCGAACGGCUCAUUAUAACAGCUACAAUUUACUUGAUCUUGACAAUCCUACUUGGAUAACUCUGGUAAUUCUAGAGCUAAUACAUGCACCUAAGCUCUAACCUUGCGGAAAGAGUGCAUUUAUUAGAACAAAGCCAGGCGGCCUUGGGUCGUCUUUUGUUGACUCAGAAUAACUAAGCUGAUCGCACGGUUUUGAACCGGCGACGUGUCUUUCAAGUAUCUGCCUUAUCAACUUUCGAUGGUAGUAUAUUCGACUACCAUGGUGGUGACGGGUAACGGAGAAUAAGGGUUCGACUCCGGAGAAGGGGCCUGAGAAAUGGCCACUACGUCUAAGGAUGGCAGCAGGCGCGCAAAUUACCCACUCUCGGAACGAGGAGGUAGUGACGAAAAAUAACGAGACCGUUCUCUAUGAGGCCGUUCAUCGGAAUGGGUACAAUUUAAACCCUUUAACGAGUAUCUAUGAGAGGGCAAGUCUGGUGCCAGCAGCCGCGGUAAUUCCAGCUCUCAAAAUACAUAGAAUUAUUGCUGCGGUUAAAAAGCUCGUAGUUGAAUUUGUGUUCGGGUGCUGGUCCAUCUUUGUGGUGCGCACUAGUUUCCCGAACUUUUCUGUCGGUUUUCUCGUUGUAGCCUUCACUGGUUGCUGCGGGUGGCUGGCGAUUUUACUUUGAACAAAUCAAAGUGCUUAACACAGGCGUUUCGCCUGAAUGCUCUUGCAUGGAAUAAUAGAAAAGGAUUUCGGUUCGGUUUUAUUGGUUUUAUUAACUGAAAUAAUGAUUAACAGAGACAAACCGGGGGCAUUCGUAUCGCUGCGUGAGAGGUGAAAUUCUUGGACCGCAGCGAGACGCACUACAGCGAAAGCAUUUGUCAAGAAUGUCUUCAUUAAUCAAGAACGAAAGUCAGAGGUUCGAAGGCGAUCAGAUACCGCCCUAGUUUUGACCGUAAACGAUGCCAACUAGCGAUCCGCCGGCGGUUUUUAUGCCCCGGUGGGGAGCUUCCCGGAAACGAAAGUCUUCCGGCUCCGGGGGAAGUAUGGUUGCAAAGCUGAAACUUAAAGGAAUUGACGGAAGGGCACCACCAGGAGUGGAGCCUGCGGCUUAAUUUGACUCAACACGGGGAAACUCACCCGGGCCGAACAGCAUAAGGAUUGACAUAUUGAUAGCUUUUUCAUGAUUUGGUGGAUGGUGGUGCAUGGUCGUUCUUAGUUCGUGGAUUGAUUUGUCUGGUUUAUUCCGAUAACGAGCGAGACUCUAGCCUAUUAAAUAGUUCGCACAUUGGAUUUAUGUGUGCGUUCCUAACUUCCUAAAGGGAUUUUCGGCGUUUAGCCGCAAGAGAUUGAGCAAUAACAGGUCUGUGAUGCCCUUAAAUGUCCGGGGCUGCACGCGCGCUACAAUGGCGAAAUCAGCGUGCUUUUCCUAUCUUGAAAGAGACGGGUAAACCCUUGAAAAUUUGCCAUGAUUGGGAUCGGAAAUUGCAAUUAUUUGCCGUGAACCAGGAAUUCCAAGUAAGUGCGAGUCACAAACUCGCGUUGAUUACGUCCCUGCCCUUUGUACACACCGCCCGUCGCUGCCCGGAACUGAACCAUUUCGAGAAAUUCGGGGACCGGGAAUCGCUUGCUUCUUUACGGAGUUGGCUUUUUCUGGAAACCGACUUUAUCGCAGUGGCUUGAACCGGGC
rnacentral:rRNA from 1 species